AAGAAUUCCAACGCCAAAUCAUCUAUCAAAUGAGUCCACAAGAGGAUUCGACCCUAGCUUCGAUGCUUUUGAGGCCAGGACCGAUCCUAGCAUUACAAUCAGCAAAGUUCAAGGAGGAGGAUGAGGAUGAUAAUGGCGUAGAUAAGGUGAAACGUGUGUACAUAAAGACAACGCAUGAUCAUGUCAUCAAACCUCAGCAACAAGAGGCAAUGAUAAAGAGGUGGCCACCAUCUCAGGUUUAUGUUUUGGAUAGUGAUCACAGCCCUUUUUUUUCUUCCCCGUUUGUGCUCUUUGGCUUGCUUGUAAAGGCAGCAGCUUCUGUCGGAUACAUAUAGGAGAUGACAGAAUCAGAAUCCCGUUCUUUGUUGGUGAGUGACUGAUUGAAUAAAAAGUAUAUGCAUCUACAAAAAUGUAACAUUAUUGAUUAUUCUUUCUGCCAAUAUUAUUCUGCUAG
rnacentral:misc_RNA from 1 species